rnacentral:rRNA from 1 species
UACGGAGGGGGCUAGCGUUGUUCGGAAUUACUGGGCGUAAAGCGCACGUAGGCGGACUGUUAAGUCGGGGGUGAAAUCCUGGGGCUCAACCUCGGAACUGCCUUCGAUACUGCGGGUCUCGAGUCCGGGGAGAGGGAUGUGGAAUUCCAGGUGUAGCGGUGAAAUGCGUAGAUAUCUGGAGGAACACCGGUGGCGAAGGCGGCAUCCGUGGACCGGUAUUGACGCUGAGGAGCGAAAGCCAGGGGAGCAAACGGGG